rnacentral:rRNA from 1 species
UUCUGCCCUAUCAACUUGUUGUUGGGGUAGUGGCCCAACAAGGUUUUGACGGGUAACGGGGAAUCAGGGUUCGAUUCCGGAGAGGGAGCCUGAGAAACGGCUACCACAUCCAAGGAAGGCAGCAGGCGCGCAAAUUACCCAAUCCGGUCAUCGGGAGGUAGCGACGAGAAAUACCAAUUCGGACUAUUGUUCGCAAAUGGAAUGAAGUCAAUAUAGUAACUUGACUGAGCAACUACUGGAGGGCAAGUCUGGUGCCAGCAGCCGCGGUAAUUCCAGCUCUAGUAGUGUAUAUCAAAAUUGUUGCGGUUAAAACGCUCGUAGUUGGAUGACAAAAAUUUGCAACACUUGACAUGUUUAUUCAUAUCUUGUGAAGCAGAUUUUUUUAUUGCAAAUUCCUGCAAUUGCUUAACUGUAUAUUGCAGGUCAUUUGCAAAGCGUGCCUUGAAUAAAGCAGAGUGCUCAAAGCAAGCGUUACGCUAGAAUGUAAUAGCAUGGAACGAACAGCCAGAUUUCUGGUUCAGUUGGUUGGUGACACCGGCAGCUGGUUUCUCAACGUGUUCAUGUGGUCAGUGCCUAGGUAAAUGUGACGUAAAAAAUCCGCUACCUGGACGCUAGACCGCCUCUGGGCCUUUGGGCGCCAGUUGUUUGGAUCUGAACCGGGUCAUGAUUAAAAGGGGCAUUUGAGGGCGUUAGUAUUUGAUGGCGAGAGGUGAAAUUCAGUGACCCAUCAAGGACUCGCUAAUGCGAAGGCUUUCGCCAAGAAUGUUUUCAUUAAUCAAGAACGAAUGUUGGAGGUUCAAAGACGAUCAGAUACCGUCGUAGUUCCAUACAGUAAACUAUGCCAUCACGGGAUCAGCUCGUGAAAUAAGUACUAGUUGGUCUCCCAGGGAAACCUUAAGAGUUCGGGUUCUGGGGAGAGUACGGUCGCAAGGCUGAAAUUUAAAAGAAUUGACGGAAGGACACCACCAGGAGUGGAGCCUGCGGCUUAAUUUGACUCAACACGGGGCAACUCACCAGGUCCGGACAUUGAAAGGAAUGACAGACUGAUAGAUCUUUCAUGAUACAAUGAUUGGUGGUGCAUGGCCGUUCUUAGUUGGUGGAGCGAUCUGUCAGGUCUAUUCCGGUAACGAGCGAGACCACGAUCUCUAAUUUAUCGCUUUGUCCAUCUCCACUUUUCUCUAUGCACUGCGGUUCAACGCACAUUCGGUUUGCACUCGUCGGGUCACAAGCCUGGCGAAGGUACGCCGAGUGUGCGCUGGCUGUUGCUGUAUGGAGUUAAAGUAGGGCAGAGAUAAUAGAGAGACUACCGUGCGAUUUAAAAAGCCGGGGGAAGCGUUGCAAUAACAGGUCUGUGAUGCCCUUCGAUGUUCUGGGCUGCACGCGCGCUACAAUGGCAGUGACACAAAGUUACUGCUCCGAGAGGAGUGGUAAAACCAAAAUCGCUGUCGUAAAUGGGACUGAGCCUUGUAAUAAUUGCUCACGAAAGAGGAAUUCCUCGUAAGCGUGAGUCAUCAACUUGCGUUGAAUACGUCUCUGUCCUUUGUACACACCGCCCGUCGCUACUACUAAUCGAAUUGGAUUUCGAAACGUAGGGAUUUUUUCUCGGUUUCGGCCGGAAAGAAGAACCACCUUCAGAAAUUCAUUUGAAAAGGAGUAAAAGUCGUAACAAGGUUUCCGUAGGUGAACCUGCGAAG